rnacentral:misc_RNA from 1 species
GUGCCCGUCCACCGAACGGCCGGCAGGCGAUCCGCGUCGGUCGCGCGAGGUGGUGUCAUAUGUANGGUUGCCCAGAGGCCGGUUCUUGUGCUGCCUACCCCUUCAGGGGAAGCACGGGCCACUUGAUGUAAGCCUCCAUCCGGCGCCCUCCAACGGGCGUCGGAGGACAGCGGAGCACCCCCCGCGUUCCACCGAGCCCUCGUCGGUCGCGUGGCCCGCGGGGACGUGCGAUGCUCUCGGACCCAGCGCACGCCGCGGGGCGGGGACUCACGUCCCAGCCCCAAGAGAAGCUUCGACCCAACGAAUGACGGCCCGCUCCGGCCCCCGUCCGCCCCGGCGGCGCGGGGGCGCGGCGCGGCGUCUCGGAGGAAUGCU